rnacentral:rRNA from 1 species
GACGAACGCUGGCGGCGUGCUUAACACAUGCAAGUCGAACGGAAAGGCCCUGCUUUUGUGGGGUGCUCGAGUGGCGAACGGGUGAGUAACACGUGAGUAACCUGCCCUUGACUUUGGGAUAACUUCAGGAAACUGGGGCUAAUACCGGAUAGGAGCUCCUGCUGCAUGGUGGGGGUUGGAAAGUUUCGGCGGUUGGGGAUGGACUCGCGGCUUAUCAGCUUGUUGGUGGGGUAGUGGCUUACCAAGGCUUUGACGGGUAGCCGGCCUGAGAGGGUGACCGGCCACAUUGGGACUGAGAUACGGCCCAGACUCCUACGGGAGGCAGCAGUGGGGAAUAUUGCACUAUGGGCGGAAGCCUGAUGCAGCAACGCCGCGUGCGGGAUGACGGCCUUCGGGUUGUAAACCGCUUUCGCCUGUGACGAAGCGUGAGUGACGGUAAUGGGUAAAGAAGCACCGGCUAACUAGGUG